ensembl:snRNA U6 U6 spliceosomal RNA
GUGCUUGCUUCAGUAGCACAUAUACUAAAAGUGGAACCUUACAGAGAAAAUCAGCAUGGCCCCUGCACAAAGAUGACACAGAAAUUUGCGAAGAACUCCAUAUUGUU